AGGACGAACGCUAGCGGCAGGCCUAAUACAUGCAAGCCGAACGGUAAUCCUGACGGCAACGUCAGGACUAGAGUGGCGUAAGGGUGCGUAACACGUAUGCAAUCUGCCCUCAACUGGGGGAUAGCUCCCGGAAACGGGAAUUAAUACCCCAUAACAUGCCAGCGAGGCAUCUUGCUGGCAUUAAAGCUACGGCGGUUGAGGAUGAGCAUGCGUCUGAUUAGCUAGUUGGUGAGGUAACGGCUCACCAAGGCGAUGAUCAGUAGGGGAACUGAGAGGUUGAUCCCCCACACUGGCACUGAGACACGGGCCAGACUCCUACGGGAGGCAGCAGUAGGGAAUAUUGGACAAUGGGUGCGAGCCUGAUCCAGCCAUGCCGCGUGCAGGAAGAAGGCCUUCUGGGUUGUAAACUGCUUUUAUCUGGGAAUAGAAAACCCGUGCGCGGGGAACUGAAGGUACCAGAUGAAUAAGCCACGGCUAACUACGUGCCAGCAGCCGCGGUAAUACGUAGGUGGCGAGCGUUGUCCGGAUUCAUUGGGUUUAAAGGGUGCGUAGGCGGCUGAUUAAGUCAGUGCUGAAAGCCCCCGGCUUAACCGGGGAGGUGGCAUUGAUACUGGUCGGCUUGAGUGCUGUCGAGGCAGGCGGAAUUGACGGUGUAGCGGUGAAAUGCUUAGAUAUCGUCAGGAACACCGAUAGUGAAGACAGCUUGCCAGAGAGCAACUGACGCUGAGGCACGAAAGUGUGGGGAGCAAACAGGAUUAGAUACCCUGGUAGUCCACACUGUAAACGAUGAUGACUCGCUGUUGGCGAUAUACGGUCAGCGGCCAAGAGAAAUCGUUAAGUCAUCCACCUGGGGAGUACGCCGGCAACGGUG
rnacentral:rRNA from 1 species